rnacentral:rRNA from 1 species
GAUUCAUAAUAACUUCUCGAAUCGCAUGGCCUUGCGCCGGCGAUGGUUCAUUCAAAUUUCUUCCCUAUCAACUUUCGAUGUUUGGGUAUUGGCCAAACAUGGUUGCAACGGGUAACGGAGGGUUAGGGCUCGACCCCGGAGAAGGAGCCUGAGAAACGGCUACUACAUCCAAGGAAGGCAGCAGGCGCGCAAAUUACCCAAUCCCGAUUCGGGGAGGUAGUGACAAUAAAUACUGAUACAGGGCUCUUUUGGGUCUUGUAAUCGGAAUGAGUACAAUUUAAAUCCCUUAACGAGGAACAAUUGGAGGGCAAGUCUGGUGCCAGCAGCCGCGGUAAUUCCAGCUCCAAUAGCGUAUAUUAAAGUUGUUGUGGUUAAAAAGCUCGUAGUUGAACCUUGGGCCUGGCUGGCCGGUCCGCCUCACCGCGUGUACUGGUCCGGCCGGGCCUUUCCCUCUGUGGAACCCCAUGUCCUUCACUGGGUGUGGCGGGGAACCAGGACUUUUAC